rnacentral:rRNA from 1 species
GUGCCAGCAGCCGCGGUAAUACGUAGGGUGCAAGCGUUAAUCGGAAUUACUGGGCGUAAAGCGUGCGCAGGCGGUUUUGUAAGUUUGUCGUGAAAGCCCCGGGCUCAACCUGGGAAUUGCGAUGAAGACUGCAAGGCUUGAAUCUGGCAGAGGGGGGUAGAAUUCCACGUGUAGCAGUGAAAUGCGUAGAGAUGUGGAGGAACACCGAUGGCGAAGGCAGCCCCCUGGGUCAAGAUUGACGCUCAUGCACGAAAGCGUGAGGAGCAAACAGGAUUAGAUA